rnacentral:lncRNA from 1 species
UCCCAAACAAUUUAACUGUGUUCCUAGACAACUGUGUUCCUAGACAAAUUAACUGUGUUCCUAGACAACUUAACUGUGUUUCCAGACAAGUUAACUGUGUUCCCAAACAACUUAACUGUGUUCCUAAACAACUGUGUUCCUAGACAACUUAACUGUGUUCACAGACAACUUAAGUGUGUUCCUAGAGAAGUUAACUGUGUUCCUAGACAAGUUAACUGUGUUCACAGACAACUUAACUGUGUUCACAGACCUGGGGUCGACCCCUGCUCACAUGGAGUCGACUCUCUCAGGCUUUCCAGAGAGCUGUUUUUCUGCCUGAUUUCAGGGGUCGUCUCCAGCUCUUUAGGGGUCGACCCCAGGUCUUCAGGGGUCGACCCCAGCUCGACCCCAGCUCAGCAUAAGUCUACAAUAAUUUUCUAAUAACACUUAACUGUGUGCACAGUCGAAAUAACUGUGUUCUGGGGUAGAAUAAGUGUGUUCCGGGAUGAUUUAAAUAUGUUCCAAGCUUAUUUAACCGUGUGUC